rnacentral:rRNA from 1 species
GAUGAACGCUGGCGGCGUGCCUAAUACAUGCAAGUCGAGCGAACGGACGAGAAGCUUGCUUCUCUGAUGUUAGCGGCGGACGGGUGAGUAACACGUGGAUAACCUACCUAUAAGACUGGGAUAACUUCGGGAAACCGGAGCUAAUACCGGAUAAUAUUUUGAACCGCAUGGUUCAAAAGUGAAAGACGGUCUUGCUGUCACUUAUAGAUGGAUCCGCGCUGCAUUAGCUAGUUGGUAAGGUAACGGCUUACCAAGGCAACGAUGCAUAGCCGACCUGAGAGGGUGAUCGGCCACACUGGAACUGAGACACGGUCCAGACUCCUACGGGAGGCAGCAGUAGGGAAUCUUCCGCAAUGGGCGAAAGCCUGACGGAGCAACGCCGCGUGAGUGAUGAAGGUCUUCGGAUCGUAAAACUCUGUUAUUAGGGAAGAACAUAUGUGUAAGUAACUGUGCACAUCUUGACGGUACCUAAUCAGAAAGCCACGGCUAACUACGUGCCAGCAGCCGCGGUAAUACGUAGGUGGCAAGCGUUAUCCGGAAUUAUUGGGCGUAAAGCGCGCGUAGGCGGUUUUUUAAGUCUGAUGUGAAAGCCCACGGCUCAACCGUGGAGGGUCAUUGGAAACUGGAAAACUUGAGUGCAGAAGAGGAAAGUGGAAUUCCAUGUGUAGCGGUGAAAUGCGCAGAGAUAUGGAGGAACACCAGUGGCGAAGGCGACUUUCUGGUCUGUAACUGACGCUGAUGUGCGAAAGCGUGGGGAUCAAACAGGAUUAGAUACCCUGGUAGUCCACGCCGUAAACGAUGAGUGCUAAGUGUUAGGGGGUUUCCGCCCCUUAGUGCUGCAGCUAACGCAUUAAGCACUCCGCCUGGGGAGUACGACCGCAAGGUUGAAACUCAAAGGAAUUGACGGGGACCCGCACAAGCGGUGGAGCAUGUGGUUUAAUUCGAAGCAACGCGAAGAACCUUACCAAAUCUUGACAUCCUUUGACAACUCUAGAGAUAGAGCUUUCCCCUUCGGGGGACAAAGUGACAGGUGGUGCAUGGUUGUCGUCAGCUCGUGUCGUGAGAUGUUGGGUUAAGUCCCGCAACGAGCGCAACCCUUAAGCUUAGUUGCCAUCAUUAAGUUGGGCACUCUAAGUUGACUGCCGGUGACAAGCCGGAGGAAGGUGGGGAUGACGUCAAAUCAUCAUGCCCCUUAUGAUUUGGGCUACACACGUGCUACAAUGGACAAUACAAAGGGCAGCGAAACCGCGAGGUCAAGCAAAUCCCAUAAGGUUGUUCUCAGUUCGGAUUGUAGUCUGCAACUCGACUACAUGAAGCUGGAAUCGCUAGUAAUCGUAGAUCAGCAUGCUACGGUGAAUACGUUCCCGGGUCU